GUGCUUGCUUUGACAGCACAUAUACUAAAAUUGGAACGAUACAGAGAAGAUUAGCAUGGCCCAUACACAAGGAUGAUAUGCAAAUUCAUGAAGCAUUCUAUAUUUUA
ensembl:snRNA U6 U6 spliceosomal RNA